rnacentral:rRNA from 1 species
CCUGGCGGCAGGCUACACAUGCAAGUCGAGCGGAUGAGAAGAGCUUGCUCUUCGAUUCAGCGGCGGACGGGUGAGUAAUGCCUAGGAAUCUGCCUGGUAGUGGGGGACAACGUUUCGAAAGGAACGCUAAUACCGCAUACGUCCUACGGGAGAAAGCAGGGGACCUUCGGGCCUUGCGCUAUCAGAUGAGCCUAGGUCGGAUUAGCUAGUUGGUGAGGUAAUGGCUCACCAAGGCGACGAUCCGUAACUGGUCUGAGAGGAUGAUCAGUCACACUGGAACUGAGACACGGUCCAGACUCCUACGGGAGGCAGCAGUGGGGAAUAUUGGACAAUGGGCGAAAGCCUGAUCCAGCCAUGCCGCGUGUGUGAAGAAGGUCUUCGGAUUGUAAAGCACUUUAAGUUGGGAGGAAGAGCAGUAAGCGAAUACCUUGCUGUUUUGACGUUACCGACAGAAUAAGCACCGGCUAACUCUGUGCCAGCAGCCGCGGUAAU